rnacentral:rRNA from 1 species
UACGUAGGGUGCAAGCGUUGUCCGGGAUUUAUUGGGCGUAAAGAGCUCGUAGGCGGUCUGUCGCGUCGGAUGUGAAAACCCAGGGCUCAACCCUGGGCCUGCAUUCGAUACGGGCAGACUAGAGUACGGCAGGGGAGACUGGAAUUCCUGGUGUAGCGGUGAAAUGCGCAGAUAUCAGGAGGAACACCGGUGGCGAAGGCGGGUCUCUGGGCCGUAACUGACGCUGGAGGAGCGAAAGCGUGGGGAGCGAACAGG